rnacentral:lncRNA from 1 species
CUAAUCCAGAAAUGGACCCGAGGAUCCCCGAGUAUGGGGUAUCUCUGGAUGAAACUCAGGGGAGUCUAUAAAUUUUAAGUGGGGACAAAAAAAUCUUCACUUUGAUUAACCGGUAGCAGAAAUGCAGCAUUUUGUUCCAUAAGAGACACAGCCAUCAGACCAACGGAUUGUUCAUCACAUCUGUGACUUUGUCAGCUCAGGAAAUCGGUCUGUUCAAACAUGCCACCAGUGUGGCCAGCUGAUGGCAGUGACAGAGUUGUGCUAACCUGCUCCACCUUCCUCUCCCGAAGAAGCUGCUGGAAGUACUUCUCGAUGUGAACAGUAUUUUCAUUGAAUAUAGAAACUACAUUGACAACAAUUUCUUUCAGAUUUUAAACUGCAGUUUUGUUUUCUGGCUCCUGCGCAGGGGGCUACAUCUUACCAUGAUGGUGAAGGCAUGGCUGCUGGGGUGUUCUGGUCUGUGAUGGUGAAUAAGUCCUACCAUGAUGGUGAAGGCAUGGCAGCUGGGGUGUGGUGAUCUGUGAUAGUCUGCACUUCAGAUCUUGUCGGACCAGGAAGCCAGGAAAACUAGGAUUGGAUCUAGAAGCGGAAACCACCUUCCAAGCUUGCCCCUAGAAGCCUACUUUAACUAGGAAGGCCACAUUUCUUAAAGGUCCCCAAUCCCCAAAGCAUGACUGCCAGCUGGGGACCAAGGGUUUAAGCACUUGAGCUUGUGAGAGGAUGGUACCACUUGAAGUGAAAAAAAAAAAAAAGUUGACAGUUCUGAAAUUUUGAUUGGAUUUUUACUUUUGUUUAUUUUUUUAUUUGAGACAGGAUUUCAAAUAGUCUAGGCUGACAUUGAAACUCAUUAUGUAGUCUGAGUUAGUUUUAAAUGCCUUGCCCCAAAUUCUGGGAGAUAGAUAUGCUCCACCAUGCAUGCCUUGCACUCUCCAUUUUAGUUUCAAUGCAAAUCCUAUUUGUUUUAUAGUCGGAAUAAUGAAUCAAUAAGUGGAAGGAGGUUAACAAUGGGAUGUAGACAACUAUUCCGAAUGGCUGGAUAUGGGAUCAAAAUGUCCAGCUGGUUUGAAAUAAAGCUUGAGAACAGCUCACGAUAGAAAGAUGGUGUUGAUGCCUGUUGAGGCCACAGUGUAGCAGAGUCUUUUAAGGGAAGACAUAUUAUGGGUGAUGGACUUUAUUGUGCAUCACAGCUUCGCAGUUCAGAGUCAAGAUAUCAUUGCCAUCACUGACAUAUUUUAUGAGGUAGAUGUUUUCUGGAGAGUGAUUCCACCUGCAUUUUCCUUUACAAAGGGAAGACUUAGGUACUGGCUUUCUUUAAAACAGUUGCCACUGAAUCUUCACAAUGGUUCUAUGUCAUAAAACUGUGUUUCAUCUAUCACAAAACAAAUACUCAUGGUAAAAAAAAAUGACAGAACAUAUUAAACUCCUCUUUUCUUAAAAAACUUAAUAGUUUAAUCAAUAAACAUUUAUUAAACAUUUACCAGGUGCCAGGCAC